GAGAUUCCCCCAGUAGCGGCGAGCGAACGGGGAGGAGCCCAGAGCCUGAAUCAGCAUGUGUGUUAGUGGAAGCGUCUGGAAAGGCGCGCGAUACAGGGUGACAGCCCCGUACACAAAAGCGCAUGUGUUGUGAGCUCGAUGAGUAGGGCGGGACACGUGGUAUCCUGUCUGAAUAUGGGGGGACCAUCCUCCAAGGCUAAAUACUCCUGACUGACCGAUAGUGAACCAGUACCGUGAGGGAAAGGCGAAAAGAACCCCGGCGAGGGGAGUGAAAAAGAACCUGAAACCGUGUACGUACAAGCAGUGGGAGCCCCACCACUAAGCCAGUGGUGAACUCCACAUACGCAUCCUUUGCUGAGGAUACGGUUAACGGAGCGAAAGCGACGUUCAACCGCAAAAGAAGCAGAGGGGGCUUAGUGGUGGGGUGACUGCGUACCUUUUGUAUAAUGGGUCAGCGACUUAUAUUCUGUAGCAAGGUUAACCGUAUAGGGGAGCCGUAGGGAAACCGAGUCUUAACCGGGCGUUAAGUUGCAGGGUAUAGACCCGAAACCCGGUGAUCUAGCCAUGGGCAGGUUGAAGGUUGGGUAACACUAACUGGAGGACCGAACCGACUAAUGUUGAAAAAUUAGCGGAUGACCUGUGGCUGGGGGUGAAAGGCCAAUCAAACCGGGAGAUAGCUGGUUCUCCCCGAAAGCUAUUUAGGUAGCGCCUCGUGAAUUCAUCUCCGGGGGUAGAGCACUGUUUCGGCUAGGGGGCCAUCCCGGCUUACCAACCCGAUGCAAACUGCGAAUACCGGAGAAUGUUAUCACGGGAGACACACGGCGGGUGCUAACGUCCGUCGUGAAGAGGGAAACAACCCAGACCGCCAGCUAAGGUCCCAAAGUCAUGGUUAAGUGGGAAACGAUGUGGGAAGGCCCAGACAGCCAGGAUGUUGGCUUAGAAGCAGCCAUCAUUUAAAGAAAGCGUAAUAGCUCACUGGUCGAGUCGGCCUGCGCGGAAGAUGUAACGGGGCUAAACCAUGCACCGAAGCUGCGGCAGCGA
rnacentral:rRNA from 1 species